rnacentral:rRNA from 1 species
AGCGAACGCUGGCGGCAGGCCUAACACAUGCAAGUCGAACGAAGUCUUCGGGCUUAGUGGCGGACGGGUGAGUAACACGUGGGAACUUACCUUUUGGUUCGGAAUAACGCAGAGAAAUUUGCGCUAAUACCGAAUGAGCCCUUAGGGGGAAAGAUUUAUCGCCGAAAGAUCGGACCGCGUUGGAUUAGGUAGUUGGUGUGGUAAAGGCGAACAAAGCCUACGAUCCAUAGCUGGUCUGAGAGGAUGAUCAGCCACACUGGGACUGAGACACGGCCCAGACUCCUACGGGAGGCAGCAGUGGGGAAUCUUGCGCAAUGGGCGAAAGCCUGACGCAGCCAUGCCGCGUGAAUGAUGAAGGUCUUAGGAUUGUAAAAUUCUUUUACCAGGGACGAUAAUGACGGUACCUGGAGAAAAAGCCCCGGCUAACUUCGUGCCAGCCGCCGCUGUAAGAC